rnacentral:rRNA from 1 species
GAGUUUGAUCCUGGCUCAGGACGAACGCUGGCGGCGUGCUUAACACAUGCAAGUCGAACGAGAAUCUGUGGAAAGAGGAUUCGUCCAAUUGAAGCAGAGGACAGUGGCGGACGGGUGAGUAACGCGUGAGGAACCUGCCUUUCAGAGGGGGACAACAGUUGGAAACGACUGCUAAUACCGCAUGACACAUAGGUGUCGCAUGGCACUUAUGUCAAAGAUUUAUCGCUGAAAGAUGGCCUCGCGUCUGAUUAGCUAGUUGGUGAGGUAACGGCCCACCAAGGCGACGAUCAGUAGCCGGACUGAGAGGUUGAACGGCCACAUUGGGACUGAGAUACGGCCCAGACUCCUACGGGAGGCAGCAGUGGGGAAUAUUGGGCAAUGGGCGCAAGCCUGACCCAGCAACGCCGCGUGAAGGAAGAAGGCUUUCGGGUUGUAAACUUCUAUCAGCAGGGAAGAUAGUGACGGUACCUGACUAAGAAGCCCCGGCUAACUACGUGCCAGCAGCCGCGGUAAUUC